CACUCCGAGGAAAAAAACUAAGGAAACAAUAGUAAAUAUGUUGUCAUUUAUUAACUCGCUUAUUCAUCAGAUAUUUUACAUUUAGCACAUGCUAGUUUGUGUUCUAAGUGAUGGGGAUAUUUUGGAGAACAGAGUUUUUUUCCUCUUUACAAGGCUUAUAUAUUUGUGAAGAAGAUAGAAAAUCAACACAUAAACAUGCAAAUAAAGCUCAAGCCAAUAUAAACAGUUAAAGAUUAGGAGAUGUUUCAUAAAGUAUUCUCAAUAUUUUAAAGAGUGUUUCUUAAUCUUAUUCUCAUCCCACUGUCAAAUGAAAUUCAUGUAACUAAAUGAAAAUCAACAAUAUGUAGUCGUGAAAAAGUAUUUGGCAAAGUGGUGUGCAAUCCUACAGAAGUUACAAUUUGAGGGUUAAGUAAUUGGUAUUCAGUUCCCGGUUUACCACUGAUUGUGUAACUCUAGGCAAGUUACUUCUCCUGGAUCAGUUUUGUCUCCUAUAAAAAUGAUGCUAAUAAGAGUACCUCCUGUGAGUUAUUAAAAGGUAAUGAAGUACAAUAUAGUAAAUAUAAUUAGCACCAUUGCAUGUUAUAAAUGAAAGUUAAGAGAGUAAAUCCCAAGAACUCUCAUCACAAGGAAAAAUAUUUUUGUAUCUAUAUGAGGUGGUGGAUUUUCAGUAAAUUGACUGUGAUAAUCUUUUCAUGAUGCAUGUGUCACGGAGCAAAAAGGGCCUCCUGCCCAACGUGCAUAGAAGCCAAUGCUAUGGCAUCUGUUAUUGAGAAAAGAGAAAGUGUUAUUGCAAAGUCCACUGGCAAGGAGACAGGAGGGUACAGCUCUAAUCUGUUUUUCUGAUCUGGGGUGGCGUCAGACUUUUAGAAGAGGAGGGUUGAUUUUCAGGAGCAGCGGAGGGACUUUUGAACAGCAAUUAUGAAAGAACAGGGAAAGGAAAUGGCAACAAGAAAAAUACCAGACCAGUUUCAGCUCACAGGAAAAAAAAAGAAAGGUGGAGGAACAUGAAUGGAACAUGGAGAAAUGCUACAUGAAAUUCUCACAUCUUUCAGUCUGCCAUAAUGUUGGGUUUUUUUUCCCUGUGCCAAGUUGGAGAUGUGAGUCUCAGGGCCAAGGGCCAACUGUACAUGUGGGGUGGAGAGCACAAGUUGCCGCUAAAGUACUCGGUCCUUCCAAGGAUGCUAAGGCCGCAAUGGGGUGAGGACCUCACUUCAUCCGGCAACUAGCACUGCGCCUGGCAGCCCCCACCUAGCAUUUGUCCACACCAUAGCCUCCCUCUCGGAGCUCGCCUGCAUCUACUCUGCCCUCAUCCUGCAUGACCAACGAGGUGACGGUCCCCGAGGAUAAGGUUCUCAUUAAAGCAGCAGGUGUAAAUGCUGAGCCAUUCUGGCCAGGUUUGUUUGCAAAGGCUCUGGCCAAUGUCAACAUCGGGAGCCUCAUCUGCAAUGUGGGAGCUUGUGGACCUGCCCCAGCUGAGCAGAAGAAAGUAAAGAUCAUUUAUUCUAUGAAUUUUCCAAAGAAACAUAGAAAGUAGAAGCGAAGAAAGAAGAAUCUGAGGAGUCUGAUGAUGAUGUGGGCUUCUAUAACACAUUCAA